CCUACGGGAGGCAGCAGUGAGGAAUAUUGGUCAAUGGGCGCGAGCCUGAACCAGCCAAGUAGCGUGAAGGAUGACAGCCCUACGGGUUGUAAACUUCUUUUAUAAAGGAAUAAAGUGAGGCACGUGUGCCUUGUUGUAUGUACUUUAUGAAUAAGAAUAGGCUAACUCCGUGGCAGCAGCCGCGGUAAUACGGAGGUUCCGUGCGGUAUCCGGAUUUAGUGGGUUUAAAGGGAGCGUAGAUGGCUUGUUAAGUCAGUUGUGAAAGUUUGCGGCGCAACCGUCAAAUUGCAUUUGAAACUGGCAGUCUUGCGUACAGUAGCGGUAGGCGGCAUUCGUGGUGUAGCGGU
rnacentral:rRNA from 1 species